rnacentral:lncRNA from 1 species
CUUUUUUGCAUCACAAACAAAUGAAAUCCAUUUGUUUAUAUUGUGUAAACCUUUAGGAAAGUAGGAAAUGGGUUAACAUCAAUGGGACAGAUACCUUACAGCAAACCAACCAAUGAGAUAACAUGCAGAGGACGAUUUCACAGCAGUUUUUGUAUAAAAAUUGUAGCCAGUAGGUACAUAUACUAAAAAGAGGACAGUUAGUGAACAUGGUGAAGUUUUGGUGUUUCUCUCAACUGACACAUGUUUUGUUUCUUUCGUAAUUGUCUUGAGUGGCAAUUCAAUCAUCUCUUCUAUUUACCACUUUGACAACAAAUGAUGCUGACCUGUCUUCUAUAGAUAAGACAACAAAUUAUUUAUUUUACGAAUUUCCAUCCAAGAUAGCCAGGGCAAUCUAAUAUACACGAUGUCUGAAAUUCUCGCUUCCGAAUCUUUUUUAAAAUACGUGUUCUUCUCCAUCUGCGUUUUAGGUUUUCUACUCGACUCAUAACUCAUUUUGUCUUGCUUGACCGGUGUCUUUUAUAAUAUUUAUCAAUCUGACUGUCGAUACAAAAACCAAAGAAAUGAUACUUCCGGUGAAUAAUGGAUAAAACCUAAUCGACGAUCCCGGGUCAAUGGACAAAAUCAAUGCAAUGUUACGCGACUCGGGUUCGCAUACCUAUUUUUUAUCAAUUUCGUUAUCGAUCUAUUUCGGUCGGAGCGUCUUUUUACCACAGAACACCACAGAAUACCACAGAACACCACAGAAUACCACAGAACACUAAAAAUAUACCACAGAACACUAAAAAUAUACCACAGAACACAAAAACAAACAACAAAACAACUAAAAUAUGCAACAUAACAUUAAAAUAACUUAAAAAAAUGCAUGAACUAAUAUUAAUUAGACGGUAAAUCUAAAUUUCAUCACCGAUUGCAAACCACAUAUCGCUAAACAGCGCAUUUUUUUGUUUUUAUUUUUUUUUGUUUAAUCGUAUUAAUUGUGACCUUAAUAUAUAUUAUUUCAGUUAUUAUGCAACAAAUCAUAUUAAAUUAAAGUUUAAAAUAUCAAAUAUAUCUACAUUGAACACGC